rnacentral:snoRNA from 1 species
UGAGAUGAUGAAGUCGGUACCUGCUGAGCGGUGAUGAGGGGCUGGGUUUGCUGAUCA